rnacentral:rRNA from 1 species
GUGGGGAAUCUUCCACAAUGGACGAAAGUCUGAUGGAGCAACGCCGCGUGAGUGAAGAAGGGUUUCGGCUCGUAAAGCUCUGUUGUCGGGGACGAAUGUGCAGUAUUUGAAUAAAGUACUGCAAUGACGGUACCUGACGAGGAAGCCACGGCUAACUACGUGCCAGCAGCCGCGGUAAUACGUAGGUGGCAAGCGUUGUCCGGAAUUAUUGGGCGUAAAGGGAGCGCAGGCGGGAAGGUAAGUCGGUCUUAAAAGUGCGGGGCUCAACCCCGUGAUGGGAUCGAAACUAUCUUUCUUGAGUGCAGGAGAGGAAAGUGGAAUUCCUAGUGUAGCGGUGAAAUGCGUAGAUAUUAGGAGGAACACCAGUGGCGAAAGCGACUUUCUGGACUGUAACUGACGCUGAGGCUCGAAAGCCAGGGGAGCGAACGGGAUUAGAAACCCGGGUAGUCC